CGGGUGCUUUUUCUUCAUAAGUAGUAGUGAGAAGCUGAGCUGGGGCUUUGGCCACCAGAGCUUUCAGACGGCCCGUGAAAGCGAACUUUAUGAAGAGUCAAAAGAAAUUCACAUCAAAGCAGGAAGGCACUGUGGUACAGGAGAAAGGAUACAGGUUUGAGGAGAUGCCAAAUUCAGAAACUGUUAAAAGACAGACACUGGAAGUCAGAACAGUAAGGAUUCUGGAUAACUGAUAAAUAUGGCUGAGCUAUGGUACACUCCAUGAGAUGCC